rnacentral:rRNA from 1 species
UACGGGAGUGGCAAGCGUUAUCCGGAAUUAUUGGGCGUAAAGCGUCCGCAGGCGGUCUUGUAAGUCUGUUGUUAAAGCGUGGAGCUUAACUCCAUUUCAGCAAUGGAAACUGUAAGACUAGAGUGUGGUAGGGGCAGAGGGAAUUCCCGGUGUAGCGGUGAAAUGCGUAGAUAUCGGGAAGAACACCAGUGGCGAAGGCGCUCUGCUGGGCCAUAACUGACGCUCAUGGACGAAAGCCAGGGGAGCGAAAGGGAUUAGAUGCCCCUGUAGUCCUGGCCGUAAACGAUGAACACUAGGUGUCGGGGGAAUCGACCCCCUCGGUGUCGUAGCCAACGCGUUAAGUGUUCCGCCUGGGGAGUACGCACGCAAGUGUGAAACUCAAAGGAAUUGACGGGGGCCCGCACAAGCGGUGGAGUAUGUGGUUUAAUUCGAUGCAACGCGAAGAACCUUACCAGGGUUUGACAUCCUGCGAAUCUUUUGGAAACGAGAGAGUGCCUUCGGGAACGCAGUGACAGGUGGUGCAUGGCUGUCGUCAGCUCGUGUCGUGAGAUGUUGGGUUAAGUCCCGCAACGAGCGCAACCCACGUCGUUAGUUGCCAGCAUUUAGUUGGGCACUCUAGCGAGACCGCCGGUGAUAAACCGGAGGAAGGUGUGGAUGACGUCAAGUCAUCAUGCCCCUUACAUCCUGGGCUACACACGUACUACAAUGCUACGGACAAAGGGCAGCAAACUCGCGAGAGCUAGCAAAUCCCAUAAACCGUGGCUCAGUUCAGAUCGUAGGCUGCAACUCGCCUACGUGAAGGAGGAAUCGCUAGUAAUCGCAGGUCAGCAUACUGCGGUGAAUACGUUCCCGGGCCU